GCCGGGUGUGGUGGUGCACACCUGUAAUUCCAGCGGCUCAGGAGGUUGUAGCAAAAGGAUCACCAGUUCAAGGCCAGCCUUAGCAACUU
rnacentral:sRNA from 1 species